rnacentral:lncRNA from 1 species
AAAAAACAAAUAUAUAUAUAUAGAGCUAGACUGGUAUACUAUAGGUAGCACGGAGGCCUCCGUGCUACCAAGUUGUUUUCAAUGAUGCGGCUUCUAAAUCGACGAUUGGCUCCGUUAGACUUGAUUACCACUAUUAAAAGUAUUUGGAAACUAAAAUUUCAUAAUUUUUCGGCAUUAUUUACCUAUCAAACGAGUAGUCUAAAAAUGAACGGCUGAAAAUGAAAAUCUCAUAAAAAACAGUGAUAAAGAAUUCAAAAUUCAAAUCGGAAGUAUUGGUCUUGCUAUUGAUGUUAAGUAGAAUUUUCUAUUAAAUUUUCAUCUAAUUUGGAUACUUCUACAC